rnacentral:lncRNA from 1 species
AUCUAUCCACCUCUCCAGACACAAUAUCUUGAGUACCUAUGAUGGUGACCACAUCUGCUGGCAUGUGAUGUUUGGACAUAGAAUCGAGUCCUUGUGAAUGGGCAAAGCCAGGUGCUCUUAUUUUACGACGGUAGGGACGAUUGCUUCCAUUACUGACCAGAAAGACACCAAAUUCUCCUUUAGGUGCUUCAACUGCGGUAUAGGUAGAAGGAGCUGGUACGGAAAAACCUUCUGUAUAAGGUUCGAAAUGGUGAAUUGAGGUAGAGUAGACCGAUGAUCCUGUAGUCAUUUGGCCGGCUAUUGAAAGAAAAAGCUUUAAAACCUUCUGCAUAAGGUUCGAAAUGGUUAGUUGAGGUAGAGUAGACCGAUGGUCCUGUAGUCAUUUGGCCGGCUAUUGAAAGAAAAAGCUUGCAUCUGCUUCCCCUAUUAUAUAACCGGUCCCAUCUCUCUCCAAACCUAACGUGGUAGUUUCCCAUCAUAGGGCUUUCUAUCUAUAGAUUAAGCCAUUACCAAGGAGCUAAUUCGUUCAGAACUCAGUUGACUGCUUCUAUAGAGAAGGCGGAGCGUCCUUGGCUCAGCAUUAUAGCACAUAGGGCUUCAACGUGGUAGUUUCCCAUCAUAGGGCUUUAUAUCUAUAGAUUACGCCAUUACCAAGGAGCUAAUUCGUUCAGAACUCAGUUGACUGCUUCUAUUGAGAAGGCGGAGCGUCCUUGGCUCAGCAUUAUAGCACAUAGGGCUCCGGCGCUACUACAACGCUUCGCUAACUCGAAGCGCCUCGCUGUGAGAAUCUAGCUUCGCUAACACUCGGCUAAGCCUUGAACCUUCGCGCUGACCGUUCGCUUUCUCAGUAGCAAAAGCGCUUCUCUUUGCCCCUUAACCUUAAGUAGAAGGACAAGAAAGAGAUUAUUGGUUUUCUUGCUCCCGCUUCCUCAUCUGCGCUCAUCAAGCCAACUUUGCUCUUUGGGAGGUGAAACAGCGGUUGAAGCGGACAUUUCGAAAUGACAGCAUCGAAGAUAUAUUUCUAUAUAUACACGGUUACGGUUAUCUCGGACUGCGUUCCGGAAAAAGCAGCCUACUUGUGGGGCACUGUGUACUUACAGCCUCUACGAUAAGCAAGUGAAUGUGGCCGGUGCGUGGCGAACGGUUCAUCAAGCCAUUACCUCUACGAUAAGCAAGUGAAUGUGGCCAGUGCGCGGUGAACGGUUCAUCAAGCCAUUUUUCGCCCCAACUCCCUAAAUAGGAAGAGGGGUAGUUUACAAAUUGGGGUAAUCAAUUCGCACCUGACUGUGAUAGCCCUCUCGAUACCUUAUUGGAGCUUUGUAACUAGUGGCCGAUUUCCCGUCGCGUCAGCCUUUUCCCAGUGCGCGGAGCCCCAACGAGGAAGGUGUUAGUGCUUUAUCAUUGGGUCAAUAAUGCUAAUCCCUCUUUUUGUGCUACUCCUAGGGCGGGAAGAAGAUAAGAAAACGCGAAGCGUUCUCUUGCUUUCCCAACCUGUUGUUUCUAAAGACUGCCCUCUCUCGGCUGGAUCUUGGUCCAGCCUACUACGAGGAUCCCGUAUCCAGCAACCCAACCUAUACAAAGGGCAUCAAAGCCCCUUGACUAGGUUGGAGCUAUAAAGCUUACCUUAUAUUAUUAAAAAGGGAAAGGGCCUUUUCAGCUGGUGCGCAGGAGCGCACUUCCAUUUUCCCUUUACUAGUAGGGGGUCCCGUGGUUCCUAUGCCGCCGCGUUUCCCGGUCCUUUUCUUUUAGUGCUUCGACCCGAAGCGAUAGCUUCUAGCUAGUUCAGUGGAUAAGAUGGCUGCGCUCCAGCUCACUCAAGAAUGGGACGGCAGUGGUCCGCCGGCAAGCUCGUUCUGAUCUUGGACGCAGUACAUUGGAAUCCUGAAGCACCACCACGAACGCUACCGCGCGUCCGCCUGCGGUGCGGUAAGGCACCACCCUGUUGUGCCAGCAGCCAACUCCGGCGUGUCAGCUUAGUUAUCCUCAUCAAACCACUUACUUGAUGUCUAGCUUCCCAACUGGUAGACGGUUCCUUUUCCCCCAAAUCAAUGAAGAAGGGAGACGUAAGUUGAUUCUUCCGAAGAACCGGAAGCGAAGCGCUAUGCCGGGGCGGGGGACGGGAAAAGAAACGGCUCCGAAGAAAAACAAUUGGGGUUCCCAAUGCUUCUCCACGCUCAACGAGAUGUGCCAACCUCGGGAUGCUUUACUCCUAACCCCACAAGGUUCCGAGACGGAGCUUAACCUGAGUCUCGGUUAAGAACGGCGAUGAUAUACGUUUCACACGGCGCACGAUUCCAUGGAUAGUUUCAUUCGAGAUCGUGAUGGAGGACAUAGCUUACGAUCAUCGGCUUUGAUCAUGCCACUAGGCAUUUGAUUAAGACAUUGCAAAAUGAUCCGAACACUUUGUCGCAUCUCUUCGAUACGAAUACAGUAACGAUCAUAGCGAUCUCCUCUGGUACCUACUGGUAUGUCAGGAUCCAAUUGGUCAUGAACAUCGUAA